GGGCAAUUGGUCUAGGGGUAUGAUUUUCGCUUCGCAUCCUACAAGCUGCGCACUGUGAAAGGCCACCGGUUCGAAUCCGGUAUUGUCCA